GACGAACGCUGGCGGCGUGCCUAAUACAUGCAAGUCGAACGAGAGCGACCGGUGCUUGCACUGGUCAAUCUAGUGGCGAACGGGUGAGUAACACGUGGGUAACCUGCCCAUCAGAGGGGGAUAACAUCCGGAAACGGAUGCUAAAACCGCAUAGGUCCUCGAACCGCAUGGUUUGAAGAGGAAAAGAGGCGCAUGCUUCUGCUGAUGGGUGGACCCGCGGUGCAUUAGCUAGUUGGUGAGGUAACGGCUCACCAAGGCCGUGAUGCAUAGCCGACCUGAGAGGGUGAUCGGCCACAUUGGGACUGAGACACGGCCCAAACUCCUACGGGAGGCAGCAGUAGGGAAUCUUCCGCAGUGGACGCAAGUCUGACGGAGCAACGCCGCGUGAGUGAAGAAGGUUUUCGGAUCGUAAAACUCUGUUGUUAGAGAAGAACAAGUGCUAGAGUAACUGUUAGCGCCUUGACGGUAUCUAACCAGAAAGCCACGGCUAACUACGUG
rnacentral:rRNA from 1 species